UUUUAAAACGACGGCCAGUGCGGUAUCCUGACCGUGCUAAGGUAGCAUAAUAAUAUGCCUUCUGAUUAGAGGCUAGAAUGAAUGGGUUAACGAAGUAUAUACUUUCUUCCUUAUACCCCUGUAAAUUAAAAUUUAAGUGAAAAUUCUUAAAUUCAAAAGAAAGACAAAAAGACCCUAGGAGCUUUCCACUUUUAUACCCCCGCCCAAAAAGUUUUUAGUUGGGGCAACUAAACCUCAUUUAAGAAGGUUUAAAACCUCAGACCCCACGUCUCCCCUAAGAUCCAAAAGAUAAUAGGCUCUAAGCUACCCUAGGGAUAACAGGCUAAUCCCUCUUAAAAGACCAAAUUAGCAGAGGGGCUUGGCACCUCGAUGUUGGCUUAGGAGUCAUAGCUGUUUCCUGAAA
rnacentral:rRNA from 1 species